GUUCGGCCAUAAUCGUAAUUUCACAAAAGUUAAAAAACGGAUGCACGAUUUCCUUAUUAUUUUUUAACUCUGUCAAAAACUAGUUUAUUUCGGUAUGUUUAUUUUCGAUGUAUGUCAUAUACGUUAGAGUUUAUGUAUGCCAUACACGUCAGAGUGCCUCUAAAUUUUUAGACAAAUAUUUCCUAUUGAGCAAUCGAAUAUAUUUGUAAAUAUGCCGAAUUGAUCCAUGUUUAGAUAUUGCCCUUCUAACAUACAUGUCAAGUGAGGUUCAAAUCGAUCAUUACCUACAUCAGGCUAUGGACCGACCAUAAAACCCGAUCAAUAGAAUUGAUUUCUGUUUUGCUGCCCAAUUUUUGUCAGUUUCAGCCAAUGAAAAAAUAUUGCACAGAACAACAUUGGGCUCGUUCAAAUUUAACGCGCUUUUACCUGUAAAUCUGAAAAUUCUAACUAAGGCUUUGACAAGUACGGGAAGACAAAAGACAUGCGGCACCAGAGAAUUGCAAGCGGUGGUAUUUUUCUGAUUUGCGGAAUACUCAUAAAUUGCAGUGUAAGUAAUUAUCAUCAGCGCAAUUGAUGCUGUGCUAUGCUCGGCACACUGAUAUGAGUGGCGAUCGAAUGAAUACUCCUUCCUUUUUUUUGUGUAUCACCGAAUAACGGGCUUAGUGCUAAAUAAAUCAAAAAAUGACUACGUA